AUAUGGACUCUCACAAGAAACAUCUUUUUAGUACAGCAAAUGAUUGCAUAGAUAUCUGCAUAUCUGCACAGAUGUAGGCCAUUUAUGGGCUUUUGUUGACAUGAACUAUAUCCUGAUUCCUGAACAAAAUGAGAGUUCUUAGUAUUGAAGUUGUCAUCCUUAUAAUUGGCACCUAGACAGAAUUGGUGCUCUGUUUGAAAAAGUACUUUAUUGAGGAAUAGGAAUAUUUCAAACACAAAUAAUUUUAUACAUAAAGAAACAGACUACAUCUCAAUAAAUUAGUUCAAUUGUUCUACUUGCAGAAAAUAUCACAACUGAGUUGACCUUCUAGAGAAAGGAUUUUUCAGUGCAAUUGGACAAUUUACACUGCAAACCUAGCCUCACGUAUCUGAGAGCAAGCCCCAUUGAAAUCAGUAAGACUUGCUUCUGAGUAGACAUGGUUAAGAUUACACUGCAAUUCUACACAUAGUUACUUAGGGGGUAAGUUCUAGUGAACUUGAUGGGACACCAUUCUGGGUAUGCAUGAAUGGGAUUGCACUUAGUGAAACAUCAUUGACAAUAGUCUAAUUAUUCCUUUCUCCAGUUUUACGUUCAAAAACAUUCCUAAAGGUUUUGAAGAACAAAGUUUUCAUGGCAUGAAUUUUGAACUGUUUUAUUAUUGACCAGAACAGACAAGCAAUUUUACAGUUCUACUGCUUGACUGCUGUUUUUCUGCAAGUAUACCCACAGGGCAUUCAGUACAUUAAUGAAGCCAGCACUAGACAAGACCACCAAAUAAAGUGAAACCAUUUGCUUACCACCUCAAGCUUUUUAACCCCCACAGAAGAUGUGUGUCCUCCUGCAGUUUUAAGGAACACACACAAUUCAAAAGAAGUGGAAAGGUGGAUACUAUAUAUGGACAGGUUUCUUUUCCUGAGAAGUGAGUGAAUCUGAAGCACGGAGUCCAAGGUGCCAAGAGAAGCUGAAGGAGUUACCAACAAGUUAAUGAUUAGCAAAUCUCCGAGUCUGAAUAUCAUACAGGAAGAGAUCCAGGAAAUAACUGAAUAGUUAUUUUGAUGUCUGUUCCAGGUAAAUCUAGUUGUAGGCAGAUCUUUGAAGGAGAAAACCUGGAAAAAUUGCUAUGGCUGUAUGGGACAAGGUAAGAAAAAUAUACUUUUGUCUA